rnacentral:rRNA from 1 species
UAGGGAAUAUUAGAAAUGGACGAAAGUCUGACUAUGUGACGCCGCGUGAGGGAUGAAGGUCUUCGGAUCGUAAACCUCUUUCGAUAGGGAAGAAAACCUGUUCUUAACGGAACAGACUGACGGUACCUAGAGAAGAAGCCACGGCCAACUCUGUGCCAGCAGCCGCGGUAAUACAGAGGUGGCGAGCGUUACUCGGAUUUAUUGGGCGUAAAGGGCAAGUAGGCGUCUUGACAAGUUAGGGGUGAAAUCCUGCAGCUUAACUGCAGAACUGCUCUUAAAACUGUUGAGAUUGAGACUGGAAGAGGAAAGCGGAAUUCUCGGUGUAAGAGUGAGAUCUGUAGAUAUCGAGAGGAACACCAGUGGCGAAGGCGGCUUUCUGGUCCAGUACUGACGCUGAGUUGCGAAAGCUAGGGGAGCAAACA